ACAAAUGACGCUAUAGAACAUGACCUUUAGCAGCAUGUUUUGUAAAAAGCACUGCUAAAGAACAUGACCUUUAGGGGAGCAGUACUUUCCCCACAGACGCCACUAAAGAACAUGACAUUUAGCGACGCUUUUACCAAAACCGCCGCUAAAGGUCAUGUUCUUUAGCGGCAUUUUU
rnacentral:pre_miRNA from 1 species